rnacentral:rRNA from 1 species
AGAGUUUGAUCCUGGCUCAGGAUGAACGCUAGCUACAGGCUUAACACAUGCAAGUCGAGGGGCAGCAUAACGAAAGCUUGCUUUUGUUGAUGGCGACCGGCGCACGGGUGAGUAACGCGUAUCCAACCUUCCCUAUAGUAGAGAAUAGCCCGGCGAAAGUCGGAUUAAUGCUCUAUGUUGUAUUUAGAAGACAUCUGAAGAAUACCAAAGGUUUACCGCUAUAGGAUGGGGAUGCGUCUGAUUAGGUAGUAGGCGGGGUAACGGCCCACCUAGCCGACGAUCAGUAGGGGUUCUGAGAGGAAGGUCCCCCACAUUGGAACUGAGACACGGUCCAAACUCCUACGGGAGGCAGCAGUGAGGAAUAUUGGUCAAUGGACGGAAGUCUGAACCAGCCAAGUAGCGUGCAGGAUGACGGCCCUAUGGGUUGUAAACUGCUUUUAUAUAGGGAUAAAGUCGGGGACGUGUCCCCGUUUGUAGGUACUAUAUGAAUAAGGACCGGCUAAUUCCGUGCCAGCAGCCGCGGUAAUACGGAAGGUCCAGGCGUUAUCCGGAUUUAUUGGGUUUAAAGGGAGCGCAGGCUGAUGAUUAAGCGUGACGUGAAAUGUAGCCGCUCAACGGCUGAACUGCGUCGCGAACUGGUUAUCUUGAGUGAGUUCGAUGUUGGCGGAAUUCGUGGUGUAGCGGUGAAAUGCUUAGAUAUCACGAAGAACUCCGAUUGCGAAGGCAGCCAACAAGGCCUUUACUGACGCUAAAGCUCGAAGGUGCGGGUAUCGAACAGGAUUAGAUACCCUGGUAGUCCGCACGGUAAACGAUGGAUGCCCGCUGUUUGCGAUAUACUGUGAGCGGCCAAGAGAAAUCGUUAAGCAUCC